rnacentral:rRNA from 1 species
UGCCUCAGUAACGGCGAGUGAAGCGGCAACAGCUCAAAUUUGAAAUCUGGCCCCUCUCGGGGUCCGAGUUGUAAUUUGUAGAGGAUGCUUCGGGCAAGGCCGCGGUCUAAGUCGCUUGGAACAGCGGGUCAGAGAGGGUGAGAAUCCCGUCCGGGGCUGCGCGCCGCGUCCGUGUGAAGCUCCUUCGACGAGUCGAGUUGUUUGGGAAUGCAGCUCUAAAUGGGUGGUAAAUUUCAUCUAAAGCUAAAUAUGGGCCAGAGACCGAUAGCGCACAAGUAGAGUGAUCGAAAGAUGAAAAGCACUUUGAAAAGAGAGUUAAACAGUAUGUGAAAUUGUUGAAAGGGAAGCGCUUGCGACCAGACUUGCGCGUGGCGGUUCCCCCGGCCCCUGGGCCGGGUUAGUCCGCCACGUCCAGGCCAGCAUGGGUCCGGAUGGGCGGUGAAAGGCCCCGGGAAUGUAUCUACCUUCGGGUCGACUUAUAGCCCGGGGUGCAAUGCGCCCCACCCGGACCGAGGAACGCGCUUCGGCUCGGAUGCUGGCGUAAUGGUCCUAAGCGGCCCGUCUUGAAACACGGACCAAGGAGUCUAACAUCUAUGCGAGUGUUUGGGUGUCAAACCCCUACGCGCAAUGAAAGUGAACGGAGGUAAGAACCCCGCAAGGGGCGCAUUAUCGACCGAUCCUGAUGUCUUCGGAUGGAUUUGAGUAAGAGCAUAGCUGUUGGGACCCGAAAGGUAAACAUCCACCCCCUUCUUUAGUGAUGACUUAACUAACUUGCAGCAGAUGGUGAACUAUGCCUGAAUAGGGUGAAGCCAGAGGAAACUCUGGUGGAGGCUCGCAGCGGUUCUGACGUGCAAAUCGAUCGUCAAAUUUGGGCAUAGGGGCGAAAGACCAAUCGAACCAUCCUUAUGACACGGUACAUCUCUGAGAGCGGUGCCAGGUGGUUAAUAUCCUGCCUUUUAGCUAGGUCAGUCCGAUACUUGGUGUCGGGCGACGUCAUCAGUCUUCGGGGAUGUCCUUAGGGCUAUCCGAAGUCGUCCCUACCCUGGGACGGCUCACAGACUAGGCAGUGACGGCCGGACCCCCUGCCUGGGGCCGGUGAUUAUAUAGUCGAGUAAAGUUACUGGCGUCUUACGAGACCCGUAACUUUAAACGCUGGUAGCUGGUUCCUGUCGAAGUUUCCCUCAGGAUAGCAGUAACGUUUUCAGUUUUAUGAGGUAAAGCGAAUGAUUAGAGGCCUUGGGGUUGAAACAACCUUAACCUAUUCUCAAACUUUAAAUAUGUAAGAAGUCCCUGUUGCUUAAUUGAACGGGGACAUUUGAAUGUAUCGUUACUAGUGGGCCAUUUUUGGUAAGCAGAACUGGCGAUGCGGGAUGAACCGAACGUGAGGUUAAGGUGCCGGAAUGCACGCUCAUCAGACACCACAAAAGGUGUCAAUGCAUCCAGACAGCCGGACGGUGGCCAUGGAAGUCGGAAUCCGCUUAGGAGUGUGUAAUAACUAAAGUUCGCCCCUGAGCUUGUUGCACACAAGCAAUCCUAGUUAUAGGAUUAGUUGAUCUCAUGAUCACGCGAUGGCUCUAUCUGACUGGAAUUCAUCUCGAAAAUCGGUCGCAGAUCUUGAUCUGUCUACAGACUAAAAAGAGCCAACCAUGACGGUAAGUUAUGGUUAAGAUAUAGUCGAUCGACACCUGGAAAAGGUGGCCCCUACGAGAACAACUCACCGGCCGAAUGCAUUGGCCCUGAAAAUGGAUGGCGCUUAAGCGUGCUACCUAUACCUCGCCGUUGGGGUUGAAAUGAUGCCCCAACGAGUAGGCAGGCGUGGGGGUUUGUGACGAAGCCUCG